GGAGACUUCAUGGAGCUCAAGCUGCCUAGGACCUUACAAACGGUAAUGUAAAGCCUUUUUGCUUAGUUCUUAACUUGAGCCCUUAUCCAAUUUGUUGAAUUUGAAUUUAACUCAAUGCCCUCUUCAAUUACCUCUCUGAUGAGUUCUUGUAAUGGGCAUCUAGCAUUGGAACUGAUGACUACAUUGCUUGUAAUUCUCGUAUUUUGGUGCACCUUAGUCUGCUCCCAAAGAACUGUACACCGAAAUUUGAGAUGAUUUAUGCGAUGGUGAUCCAUGCAUUGGCUCAGGUUCCAGUUAUUUCUAGUUUAACUUUAUGGAUGAAUUGGGAAUGCACUGGUUUUUGUUCGUUUGUUGUUUUUGGGUGGAGUUUUCGUUGAUACAUUAUAUUCAGUAAGUUGUUCAAAGUUUAUAGCCUUGAUUGAUGUUUCAUUAGUAUAUUAUUUGUACCAUCUCAUUGGUCAGAGCCGUUUUUAGUUGUGAAACUGCCAGCUUAUGUUUAGUAUUACUUGAAUAAUCCCAUGUUUGAUUCUGUAUAAUUCCAAGUAUCAUUAAUUCAGAAUGUUGGUUAUGACACCGUUUCUAUUGCUUGUAUUCAGGUGGCAAGCCAAGAAACAUAUGGGACUUUGGGUGCUAUAGUUAAAAGCCAAACAUGGAACAUAUUAGUUGGUUUUCUUAAUUUUAGUUAACUGAAGCUUAGGGAAGUCACUCCAAAAGUAGGGUGCAUGGCUACUUGUAUGAACUGAACCUUGGAUGUUGCUAAAUUCAAUACUUAAGAAUGACUUGUCCCUGCCUCAUUAGAGAAACAAAUGAUAUAUUAGUAUGAAUUAUAUGUUGUUGUUUUGUGAGCACAUGCUUUGGUUGAAGAGUUUAAUUAAGGCAAGAUGAGAUUAAUAAUACCGAUUCUUAUUACUAGUCAAUGAUCCAAGCAGACUUGACCAAUCCUAUCUUACUCAGCAACUAUUCAGAGAGAAGGUAGUAUACCUUCCCACUUUCAUAAAUUGGAGUAUAGUUUAUAUAUUUUGGUCAGCACUUUGAUGUUUGAUUCCAUUUGGGAUGUGUUUCUGAUCAUGAUGAUGUGAAUAGGUGCAAGGAACUAUGCUAAAGCAGAGGAGUACUGUCAAAGAGCAAUUUUGGCCAAUCCGAUUGAUGCCGAUGUUUUAUCAACUUAUGUUGAUCUGAUAUGGAACACACCAGAUGAUAGGUACUUCUUAUAGUCAGCAAGUAAACACAGAUAGAUAUGGACCUAGAUUUCAAAUGAACGCAGGGUUGGCCUAUUCAGAAAUCUGAGUCAUUAGAUUGUAUUAAAGAGAAUGGGACUGAAGCCCAUUUGGAAGAUAGGAAACUACAGAAACAAGGGUCUACUACAUCAGGUAUCGUCUCUAUUUCAGUCACAAUAAGCCACAUAAACUCAUUAAGUGCAUGUUAUUUGUUGGUUUCUGUAGAGCAUGUAUUGGUUUAUCGAAUUGUAGAGACUGAGUUGAUGAAGGAGAGGUUUGCGAAAUUGAUGGUUGAAGAAGAUAUGUCAGGCUGUGGAAACAGCAUUGGCUAUAUCAAAUGCCAUUACUAAUCUUUGUGCUACCCUAUUUGAGCAACUUUGGAGACUAGAACCUCUAUCGCGGGAGAAGAAAUUAAUGUGGCAAAGAGAGAUGGAAUGGCUUAUUUCACUUUCAGAUCCUUGAGAAGGUUAAAUUAGCAUAUGACCUCCCUAUAGUUACAUAUGUCCAUGAAUCCAUACAAGUAGUUGUUUAUCUUGUAAAAUCCUAUGUUCAAAGAGCAAAUCAUGAACUGGUAUAAGUUAUUUCUCACACUUCUCAAUGCUGUUUUGUAUUGCUAGUGUGAAAUUGGAAAAGUUGCCGAUAUCAUCCAGAUUCCUGCCUUUUUUAUGCAUGUGCCUCUGUUAACAUAUUAUUUAACAGAGGAUUGCGUAAUAUUAUUUGCAAGAAGAAGCCAGUGGUAGUUUUCUAUUUACGUUUGCAUGAUUUAUGAUUGCUAGGAAUGCUAGCUAAUAUUAUUACUCUUGGUUUGUGCUAUGUCGUAGAGGAUGUUGAUGCAUGACUAUUUUAUAGAAGGCCUAUGACUCUAGUUUGGAUGUUUCAAAGGAUGCUGGCAAGGAUAUUAAAAGCUUGGAUGGAGUGAAGAGUUGGUACAUUUGUUCUUUUCUACUGUAAACCUUGUAGGUCUUAGUUUUAGGUAUGUAUUAGGAUGUAAGAGGUUUUUUGUUUGCUAGAACUCCUAGAAGACGUAUAUGAAUUCAUGUAUUUUUUUGGUUAUGAUAUAAUGUCAAUUGGAUACUUGAUGACUUUUUGAAAUGAAUGUGGUUUAUAUGAA